AUUGAACGCUGGCGGCAUGCUUUACACAUGCAAGUCGAACGGUAACAGGCCGCAAGGUGCUGACGAGUGGCGAACGGGUGAGUAAUGCAUCGGAACGUGCCCAGUCGUGGGGGAUAACUACUCGAAGGAGUAGCUAAUACCGCAUACGAUCUAUGGAUGAAAGCGGGGGACCGCAAGGCCUCGCGCGAUUGGAGCGGCCGAUGUCAGAUUAGGUAGUUGGUGGGGUAAAGGCUCACCAAGCCAACGAUCUGUAGCUGGUCUGAGAGGACGACCAGCCACACUGGGACUGAGACACGGCCCAGACUCCUACGGGAGGCAGCAGUGGGGAAUUUUGGACAAUGGGCGCAAGCCUGAUCCAGCAAUGCCGCGUGCAGGAAGAAGGCCUUCGGGUUGUAAACUGCUUUUGUACGGAACGAAACGGCUCUGGUUAAUACCCGGGGCUAAUGACGGUACCGUAAGAAUAAGCACCGGCUAACUACGUG
rnacentral:rRNA from 1 species